rnacentral:rRNA from 1 species
GACGAACGCUGGCGGCAGGCCUAACACAUGCAAGUCGAGCGGACCUUUCGGGGUCAGCGGCGGACGGGUGAGUAACGCGUGGGAAUAUGCCCUUCUCUACGGAAUAGUCCUGGGAAACUGGGGGUAAUACCGUAUACGCUCUUUGGGGGAAAGAUUUAUCGGGGAAGGAUUAGCCCGCGUUGGAUUAGGUAGUUGGUGGGGUAAUGGCCUAUCAAGCCGACGAUCCAUAGCUGGGUUGAGAGGAAGAUCAGCCACACUGGGACUGGGACGCGGCCCAGACUCCUACGGGAGGCGGCAGUGGGGAAUCUUAGACAAUGGGGGCAACCCUGAUGUAGCCAUGCCGCGUGAGUGAUGAAGGCCUUAGAGUUGUAAAGCUCUUUCAGCUGGGAAGAUAAUGACGGUACCAGCAGAAGAAGCCCCGGCUAACUCCGUG